AUUGAACGCUGGCGGCAUGCCUAACACAUGCAAGUCGAACGAGUGGCGGACGGGUGAGCGAUGGCUGGGAAACUGCCUGAUGGACGGGGAUAACUACUGUAAACGGUAGCUAAUACCGCAUACCAUCAGAUGUGCCCAGAUGGGAUUAGCUUGUUGGUGGGGUAACGGCUCACCAAGGCGACGAUCCCUAGCUGGUCUGAGAGGAUGACCAGCCACACUGGAACUGAGACACGGUCCAGACUCCUACGGGAGGCAGCAGUGGGGAAUAUUGCACAAUGGGCGAAAGCCUGAUGGAGCAAUGCCGCGUGUAUGAAGAAGGCGUUCGGGUUGUAAAGCACUUUCAGCGGGGAAGCGUUACCCGAAGAAGAAGCACCGGCUAACUCCGUGCCAGCAGCCGCGGUAAUUC
rnacentral:rRNA from 1 species